rnacentral:rRNA from 1 species
AUUGAACGCUGGCGGCAGGCCUAACACAUGCAAGUCGAACGAGUGGCGGACGGGUGAGUAAUGUCUGGGAAACUGCCUGAUGGAGGGGGAUAACUACUGGAAACGGUAGCUAAUACCGCAUACCAUCGGAUGUGCCCAGAUGGGAUUAGCUAGUAGGUGGGGUAAAGGCUCACCUAGGCGACGAUCCCUAGCUGGUCUGAGAGGAUGACCGGCAAACGUGGACUGUAGACACGGUCCAGACCCUAAGGGGAGGCAGCGGUGGGGAAUAUUGCACAAUGGGCGAAAGCCUGAUGCAGCCAGGCCGGGUGUAUGAAGAAGGCCUUCGGGUUGUAAAGUACUUCCAGCGGGGAGGCGUUACCCGCAGAAGAAGCACCGGUUAACUCCGUGCAAGCAGCCCCGGUAAUA